rnacentral:tRNA from 1 species
UGGCGGAAUUGGUAGACGCGCUAGCUUCAGGUGUUAGUGUCCUUACGGACGUGGGGGUUCAAGUCCCCC